rnacentral:lncRNA from 1 species
GGACCUACCAACCAAAAAAUGGCGGCGGAAGUUCAGCUGAGCAGCAACAUGAGGAAAGCUCUCCUGGUUCUGAAUUGUGUGAUUCUCUCAAUUGGAAACUGCGGUGGUCCCUUGGUGAUGCGCCUGUAUUUCGUUCUUGGCGGCGAGAGAAUAUGGUUUUCCAGUUGGUUGGAAACGGUUGGGUGGCCCUUGAUCCUAGUCCCUCUCAUCAUCACUUACAUGCACCGCCGAACCAAGCAAGACUCCCAUGCCAAACUCUUCUUCAUGAAACCUCCUCUGUUCGUGGCCUCCGCUGUUAUCGGUGUCCUCACCGGAUUCGAUGACUACCUCUAUGCCUAUGGCGUAGCAAAACUGCCCGUUUCAACAUCAGCUCUCAUUGUCGCAAGCCAGCUCGCUUUCACAGCAGCCUUCGCGUUCCUCUUGGUGAAACAAAAGUUCACCUCAUACUCCGUAAAUGCCAUAUUUCUGUUGAGUAUCGGUGCCGGUGUCUUGGCUUUACACACUAGCUCCGACCGCCCUACUAAUGAGUCCAACAAAGAAUAUUACCUCGGGUUUGUCAUGACACUUGCAGCUGCAGCGCUCUAUGGUUUCAUUCUCCCCUUGGUUGAAUUAACCUACAAGAAAACAAAGCAGGCAAUAACCUACUCACUGGUCAUGGAGAUUCAAAUGGUGAUGUGCUUCUUCGCCACCGUCUUUUGCACAGUGGGGAUGUUGGUUAAUAAUGACUUUCAGGUGCAUUUCUCUUUUCUCUCCACUCAAUUACCCUAACAUAUUCAACCAGAUAGAAGAUUGAUAAUUUAUGUUUGCUUCUUCCUCAUUUAAUUUUGUAGGCAAUUUCCAGAGAAGCAAAAGAAUACGAGCUUGGAGAAGCUAAAUAUUAUCUGGUGGUGGUAUGGAAUGGGAUCAUAUGGCAGUGUUUCUUCUUAGUAUCAAUAGGAGUCAUCUUUAGCGCUUCAUCUUUGGUAUGCGGUAUUGUGAUUACUGUCCUACUCCCCGUGACAGAGAUCUUGGCUGUUAUUUUCUUCCGAGAAAAAUUUCAAGCAGAGAAGGGGGUUUCACUGGCUCUCUCUCUGUGGGGCUUUGUUUCCUACUUCUACGGCGAGAUAAAGGAUAGCAAGAAAAAGAAGAAUCCCACUUCCGAGACGGAGCUGCCUCAAACGGUCAAUCCAUGACAAACAAAUAUCUUUCUUAUUCCCCGGAAGGCAAGGGACAGGAUUACAUAUAAGCAUUUACCAGGUAAUUUAAAGAAAUACUUCGUCCGUAUGUUAACAGGCAGUUUAGCUGAUUCACCAAAUCUGUGUAAAGGAAAUGCUUGAAUUUCGUUCCUAAAUACAUGCUUGAAUAUUGAAUUUACUUGAAUUCUACAACCGCUGUGAGCGGAACAUGUUGAAAAUGAGAUCAUUUAAUUGUUCUAUAUAAGAUAAUUUCAAGAAUGAGCAAGUCUUGUUUUUUUAGUUUUCAAUUUUAGUGGUUUAUGAAAUCACAGAAAAAAGAUCAUGGGUGUUUUCAAAUUUAGAGUUUUUAUCUACCAUCAACUCAACAACCUCUGAUCCCAAUAACCACUUGCACUCAUUUGGAGGUAGGUGUCAACUACUCUCGUCAACUGCCACAGUAUCAAAUGAACCACAACAACUAUAUUUUCCAUAUUUUGUAGUGGAUGAUAUUGAUAUGAAGCGAAUAAGACGCGAGCUGCGCUCACAGGCUAGGACUUUAAUUGGUGAAGCCUCCCAACUCAUAUAGUCAACUCGCUCGAAAUUCAGUUGUUAAAGUUUUCUAAUAAAUAAAACAGUUAUUUUAAAAUAUAAAAAUUUAAAUUAUAUCAUAAAAUACUAAGGUAAAGAAAUUAGAAAAUACUAAAAUAUCAAUUCCAUAUAUAUCAAGCUUUCGAUUUUGAUCAUUAAAAGUAUAUAAUAAAAUUUAAGCCUGUGAAUAAUGAUUACUACUCAAAAAGUGUUAUUUGAUAGCCUGUAAUUAAUCCUUUUAAACACUUUUGAGUAGUAGUUUAGGCCUUUUAACUCAAUUGGCAUGUUAAGGAUCCUUUAAAGCAAUUUUGAUCACUUUGUGUAAGUUUUGGUGUUUUUGUUAGUAUUUUGAUCACCAAAACAAGUCAAGACUGAGGAGAGCUAUGAGGAAUCUUGGGUAAAGCUUAGAAGUCAUUUUCCAAGAGUGAAUCCGGAUUGCAAGGAGAAAAAGCAAAGAGAAUCUGCCAUAAAGCAUAUUCUUGAUGACAGUCGUAGCAGCCACUUUUAGAGCACUUUAUGAAGUCCAAAUGAUGCAUGCUAUAUACCAUUUUAAAGCUCAGGAAGUCAACAAUCCAAUGCUUCAAACGGUGUGCAAUUCGGAGUUGAAACGAAGAAGUUGCAGCCAUUACAAGCCAAUCACUCCGAGCUGAAGAAAACAUUUUGCAAAGUGCUGCGAAAUCACCCUUUUGUUGCGAAGUGAUUUCGCAGCAUUUUUGUACAGUAAGGUGUUUCUCCUUCUGACGAUGCACGAACCAUGCCGCGAGAAGGGAGCUGGGAACCUCAAGGUGGAAGCCAACUUCGCAGCCAUGUGAAGAUAGCUCGGUGUUGCGAAAUAAUUUCGCAGCCCUCUUGGGUGUCUGCGAAAUUUCGCAGACACCAUAUUUCUCCUGCGAAAUGGUUCCUGAAGCCUCCCGAAGCUUGCUACCGACAUUGGGAGAUAUUUUCCAUUAGAUUUUUGUUGUCUAAAUCCCAAAAUACUCCUUGUAAACCACCAAUUACAUGAUUCCUUAGUUUUUAAGUUAGUAAAAAGACUAAAUAUCUUUGUAACAAUUAGUUUUAUAUUAUGUUGAUAUAUAUACCUCUCGAGAGCCUGUUCUCAGGGAGGAGUUCCUUUUGUAAACCGUUUGGGUAAGCAAGUAAAGGUCUUUUUCUUUCUACUGCCUUACCUUCUCACUUUGUAUUUUCAGUUUAUUUCUAAGUUAUGAAUUCUCUGAGGAGUUUUCCCCAGAGAAUGAGUAACUAAACCUCUAAUUCCUUGGAGCUAAGGUUGCCGGGGAAGGUUCCAAGUGCAAGAAUGCAAAGCUUUGUGGUUUUAGCUAGUAAUGAAGAGGAAGUGAAAUCCUUUAGUGAUUUCUAUGUUUUUAGUUAACUUAAAACACCUUGGAGUUACCUGGGCCAACACUUGGUAAGGCAAGUGAUUUUCAACCAUGGAAAUGCACUAGUUUACCCCUUGCGAGCCUCUGGGAGGUGACUUCAGGGUAGGAUUUUCUAGAAUAGCCAACACUUGGUAAGCUUUUGGACUCCUAGGAGGCAUCCAUUAGUUAUCUCUUGCGAGCUUUUGACGGGUAAUCCAAGGUUAAAGAUCACCUUGAAUGGUUAAGGCUUAGUGAGAGGCUUAAACCAUUGCAAGUUGCAUCAGUGAGAGAAUUAAAGUGAAAUCUAAUUGAAGGAGUCUCUGUACAUCACCGGUUAGAGAAUUGACUAUGUGUUGAAUCUCUAAUGCGAGGAAAUGAACCAUCUGACCAAAGCCGUGUCUUUUGCAUGAGGAACCACCCCAGUGAACCUAAAUCUCUAAGGAAUGCUUUUCUUCCUAAAUUAUUCCAAACUUCUGUUAAGUUAGUUAGUUUAAGUCUCAACUUUUACCAAUCAAAGUUUGUGUUUUACUUCUUAAGCUAACCAUAAAAUGAAACAAGACCAAUUCACUUGGAAUUGGUAUCAUUGAUUGCUUGUUAGUCAUUCCCAGUGAACGACCCUAGAGCCACUAUACUAUAGUAGCUUUUUCUUUGCUACCCUAGUGUAUGGUGUUAUAGGUAAUAAAUUUUGUUGAUCACUUCCUCAAUCAAGGAGCACCAGCUGAACACCAAUCAGCUGAGACACCAAUUGAGCAUGAAUCAAAUAAGAUUACGAAUAUAUGGAUUCAAUAUAUAAACGAGUGGGAUGGAACAUGACUCAAAUGAAUAAGGCAUAAAAAAGACAAAUAAUAAUGAUGCCAGACUAUAUAUGUGAUAAUGAUGAUAGAUUGUAGAUGGAGAUGGAUUUCAUAUAAAAAUAAGGAUUUUAUAUUUAAAAUUCAUUUUUAAAGAAUAAAAUACAUUAAAAAACAGUUAAACAUAAAUCGAAGACUUUUUUACUUUAAAUUUCUCUCAAAAGGAAAUUUUAUAAAUAAAAUAAAUUUAUACGAGUAUUAAUCGACAAAAUUUCAAAUCAACAAUAAUUCUUGCAUUUGUAUCAAACUUUAAAAGAUGUAAGUGAAAUUAAUCCUAUUUUUGGAUUGUUAUUUAUAUCAAAUCUUCCCCAUCUUAAUUCCAACCCAAACCAAACUUGACAUGGAUUGGGUGGAACAACUUUAACAAAACUUCAAGUUGUCAUCUCUAAUGUUAGUUUGGAAUAGAAAAUAAAAAUGAAACAAUUUCAUUCUCCUCUAUUAAUGUAUCCAGACUAUUUAUUACGAUGAAAAUUAGAAUAAAAAGUUCAUUAGUAUAUAAACCAAAUCUGCCUAUGAAUAAAAAAACAGUAGAUAAAUACUCUAAGGUUACUUUGGAAUAGAGAAUAAGAAUGGAAGAAUUUCAUUCUUCUUUAUUAAUGGAUCCAGAUUGUUGUUUACAAUGAGAAUAAGAGAAUUAGAAUAAAAAUUUCGUUAGUAGGUAAACCAAAUCUGCCAAUGAAAAAAAAAGACCACAGAUAAAUCAAAUCUCACUUUUACAAUAAUUUUGAUUCAUUCUUUUGUACAUGAUAGUGUGAUUCACUUUCAUUCUCUUUCUAUUCCACUUUUCUACUUUUCCACCUACCACUCAUCCUAGUCGUAAUGUGAUUAUUGUGUCUCGUAUCUUUGGUAAAGAGAACCAACCGACUAUAUCUCAACAAAGCGUCCAUCAUUUAUGCCAUGCAGCGUACAUCAUGCGAAAGAGCCAAUGAGCGUUUCACAUAUGGUAUAGCAAAACUGCCCAUUUCAACAUCUGCUCUCAUUAUCGCAAGCCAGCUCGCUUUCACAGCAGCCUUUGCAUUCCUCUUGGUGAAACAAAAGUUUACUUCAUACUUCGUAAAUGCCAUAUUUCUUUUGAGUAUCGGUGCUGGUGUCUUGGCUCUACACAAUAGCUCUGACUACCCCGCCAACGAAUCUAACAAAGAAUAUUAUCUCGGGUUUUUCAUGAUACUAGCAGCUGCAACGCUCUAUGGUUUCAUUUUCCCGUUGGUUGAAUUAACCUACAAGAAAGCAAAGCAGGCAAUAACCUACUCACUGGUCAUGGAGAUUCAAAUGGUGAUGUGCUUCUUCGCCACCGUCUUUUGCACAGUGGGGAUUGUUGAUGCCUCGCGUCCCAGGGAUCCACACAGCUGCCAAGUGGACGCGCGCUUUCAACCAAGAAUGAAUUCUGGCUCAGUCGAUCCUGCAAAAGAUGUCCGGACACAUCCUCCGAUGGUUUUGUUAGUCAUGGCUCAAUGGAUCAGGCUGUUGCCCUUUUUUCUGAGUUAGCUGACUUACCUUCUUCUUUGCAUGAAGGUUCUUUUAUAUAGUGUCAGAAGCUCCGCUCCCCUCUUUAAUGGCGGGAAGACUUUUUGGCUUGUCAUGAUGUCCCUGAGGUGAUGGCAGAAUCAUCAUCACCUUCCAAACGGCUGUUAGAAAUCGUGGGAGGUGACUUGUCAUCACUCCUGUCCUUUCGCUCUACAGGCGGCGAAACGUGGGCUAUGACAGGUUGUCUGGGGUGACUCAGCAUGGCUUACUUUUUAUGGUCAAUGAUCCGGACAAUGUAUUCGGAUAGAAUAGAGCACAGUCCGGGUAUAAUAUUUGAGAGUGUCGUGUGUCUCCUUGAGGGACCUGGAUAGAGCUGGCGUGCCAUGUGGACUCUGAGGGGGUCCCUACAAUGCCCCCCUUUUAACCUGGCGAUUUUGUCCUGGCAGAAUGGGUAGGUUAAAAAAAAUGAUGACUUUGAAAGUUUGGUUGUUUUUUGCGUUUAUUGUGCCAUGUGGCGGUGCGGAGGCGAAAAGAAGGAAGAGCAUUUAUGGCGAGCCGCCAUCCUUGGGAAUUCCUAUGCGGCAUGUCGUUUCAAUAGCAGCGUGGCUGGGAGUUUGGAAUACCGAGGGGUUGUCUCCCUUUAAAUAGUAGACCCAGCCCCCACAACUGCAUUUCUUCCUUCUGCAUUUCUGUUGCUAGUGUUUUCGUUUAGGUUCUUUGUGUAUUCUUGCCUGUGAGUGAAGUUCUAGGGCUUUUGCUAGCGACAUUCGCGUCGUGAGGGUGACUGCAUCGCGGCCUUCGUCCUCAUUUGCCAGUUUGCACCAGGUACGUUCUCUAUUUCUACCUUCUCUCCAUUGGGUUUCUUUUUUAUUUUAUCUUGCUUGUUAGGUAGGUUGCUUGCGAUUGAGGGUCGGUGCUGGUGUUUAGGGAUUUUUCCGGGGGGGGGGGGGGGGGGNNNNNNNNNNNNNNNNNNNNNNNNNNNNNNNNNNNNNNNNNNNNNNNNNNNNNNNNNNNNNNNNNNNNNNNNNNNNNNNNNNNNNNNNNNNNNNNNNNNNUUUGGGGUUUUUCCAAGCCACUUUCGGUUGGGGGGGGGGAGUGCUUGGGGCCUUUCUCCUUUUUUUCCCGUUUUCCCCCGGGACCUUUUUUUUUUUCUCCUUUUUCCCCAGGGGUUUUUUUUUUUUUUUUUUUUUCUUUUUUGGGUGGUUGUUUGGGGUUGGGGGGGGGGGGUGGGUUUUUGGGAUUUUUCCGGGGGGGGGGGGGGGGGGGGGUUUGCUUUCGUUUUGGGCCUGUUGGGGUUCCUGUUGCCCCCUAUAGCCUUUGCGGGUGACUGGUCCUACUUUGGGGUAGAGUCAAGGGUUAGGUUGGGGAUGUUGGCUAUUUUAGGCUUUCUGGGCGUUUUUUGCUAUUAGGGUUAUGGGGCCGGGUCCUUCUAUUUUACUGUUGGCAUUUCGCCAUGCAGGUUCCGUUUCGGCCCCAUACUUUAAAAUGCCUGCGAAAAAGGACGUAGCUUCGUCCAGUGCGGUUGGGCCCAGCGGAAAGAAUGCGUCCGGGGUGGUCUAUGCGGAGAAGCCUGUUGACAAGCUGAACGUGAGGCAGUUUUGUGAACGCUUCUGCAUUCCGAACGGCGUAUCCGUUCAGCUUGUGGACGGAGAGGUCGUAUCCACCGAGAAAUCUGUGGACAACGCUAUCUAUUUCUCUAAGGAGCAAUUCAACGCGGGGCUUCGGUUCUUUCUCCCGUCUCUCUUCAAAGAGUUUCUUCACUUCACCAAGAUCCCUCCGGCCUACAUCCAUCCCAACAUAGUCCGGGUGUUGAUGGGGUGCAGCAUUUUGAACAUGUUGUUCAACUUGGAUCUUUUGCUGCUGGGGGUCCAUUUCAUCUACUCCAUCAAGAAGGGGAAAACUGACCUCUUCAACUUGUUUACCCAUAUCCCGUCCCUCCAAUUGGUGACUAAUCUCCCAGAUUCGAUGAAGGGGAGAGCCAAAGGACAUGUACUAGUCAAGGGUGUUUAGGCUGGACUGUCGGAACAUCCGGAGAGAUUGUUUUCCCUAAAUCGUUCACUGGCGCUCCCGGGGUAGGGUAGAUUUUCGAGUUUGUCCGGCGUGCAUUUCUUGUUCUUUUACUUUCGUGUUAUCAGAUGGCUAACUUUUUUGGUUGUGGGCAACGUAGGUAAGUCCAAGAGGGACCGCCUAGUCGAGUGGGUGGAGAAAGCCUCUUUUGAUCGCUUGAACAAGCUGUUCGAGAUUACUGCUACUAAGAGGCAUUAUCAGACGUUGCUCACUACUCGGAACCUGUUGGCAGUUGUCCGGGAGCCUCACCCGUACGUCACCAACAUUCUCCCUAGGCGAUUGCCAAAACGUGUAGUGUCUUGGGAGCAUUUUGUGUUGAAAGAUUUGCCCUUCUACGAGAGGGCUCGCAAGGCUAACACAAAGGCGCGCCAGGAGCGCCUUAACCAGCAAGAGGAGAAGAGGCAGAAGGGGACAUUGAGGAAAGCACCUGGUGAGAAGGGGCGCGACUCUUCCCCAGCCGCCUUCCCCCGGCCACAAAAGAAAAGAAGAAGACGAAGAAGACUCGUGCGCAGGUGCUCUAGAUAGUGGCCCCAACUCUUGAGGCUUCGUCUUCGUCUUGCAGGUCCGAGCCCAAUCAGCCGGACCACACUAUUCCGGAGUCUAAGGAGGUUGAGGAACCUGAGGCCAUCACCAGUUCGCCACAGCUUGAAACCUUCCAUCCGGGGCCUAGCUUUCCCCAGCCGCAGUCGGAGUUUGUUGGCUUGAGGGUCGUGGAUGAGCCAGAGGAAAUGAGAGAUGCAAACGACCUUAGGGCGGGGCUUUUGCAAAGACAUCGACCUUGGCCCCCCCAGUUAAGAAAGUUUGUCCGGAGCAGGGUGGAGAGGACCCGACGCCAGAAUUUUGGCUUCAGCUGUGACUCGUCCAGACGAGGUGGGUAUUAGCGCAACUUCCACGGCUCAGCCGGAUGCCGCAGGGUCUAGCGCGGCGGCAACGGUUCAGGCCAACGCUUCGGGGCCUAGCUCAACGACUGCUGCUCAAUCGAGUACAACUGCCUUCGGCAAUGCCCCGACUGCUGUGGAGACCCAUGCGUCAGAGGGGGUUCCGGAUGCGUCGAACGACGAGAAGGCUUCGGACGAAAAGAGCAGUCCUGCUGUUGCAGUUCCUCCAAGCUAGGAGGAAAUGAUGGAGAUGCUGAAAGGAGUGCCAUGCUUCACGGAUGUAGAGACGCCUUCCACGAGGAUGUCAGACUUCUUCCCUUUGACCAAACGUGUCUCUGUGAACAUGGGUGGGGACCCUCCUGCUUUUGUCAAGGCGCGGCUCCCUUUUGGCGCUCCUGAGUCCAUCGUAUCUUGCAUUCAACACCUAUAGGAAUGGACGAUUCCAGAGACUGUAGAAGUGGUAAAUACUUCUUUGCUGUUUUUCUCUUCUUUCUUAGCAGUUGCUACUUUUCCAUGUAACAUUGUCUGUUGUUUUGUUGUUGCUUUGCCCAUGUUGUAGCCGGCAUCCACUACAUGAUGUGCACACGCGAGCAGCUUUUCAAGCGGCUGGAAUUGGUGGAGGCCAUGCAUGCCUUUAUCUCCCAACAUCCGGGUGGCAUCGAGGAGCUGCGCGCCAAGUUGGAGAAGGUGGAGGCCGAAUUGGCCGCUGCUCGGAAAGCUGUGGCGGAUGGGACGGAGCAACUAGGUCGGGUUGAAGGGGAUAAGGAGACUAUCCGGGCCGAGGCUGACAUCCUGAAGAAAGAAAAGCAAGCCUUGGAGGGCUAAGUCAAUGCAGCUGGGCAGGAGAACCUCCAGUUGAAGAGAGAGACGGAUGAACUCCUGGAUAGCCUUGCCGCCCAGAAGAAGGAGUCAGAGGAUUUGCGGGAGGGUCUGGCGGCUCAAAAGGAGAAAAUGGAGGCUAGGUUCGCCGCUCAGAAGAAGGAGAUGGAGGAGGAAUACCAGAAGCAGGCAGACGAGAUGUAUUUCUUUGGCUACCGUUGUUGUAUGAAGAAACACGGAAUUAUGCAUGAUAUUCCUUCUUUCCUUUCUGAUGAGGAAGAUACAACACCUGGGGGUCCGUCCAGCUGAAACUUCCUUCUGUACAGACUUUAUAAUUUUUCCUCUUUGUUUUGCUGCACAUGGGGCAGUUAUUUUUGUAAAGACACUUUUUACUUAUUUAUAAAUACAUUACAUUUCUUCUGUUUUUUGCUUACUCCUCAUUUCCUUUCAUUGAUAAUACUGCUUAAGAUUGGAUACAUUUCAUGGACGGAGCAGCGAGGUUCCAUCUAGCUUCUAUAGAUGAUAGACUCCACUUUCACUUGUCUUGGACACAAUGUAAGGGUCUUCCCAAUUUGCUUGGAAUUUUCCUGCUCCCUUUUCAGCAGUGUUCUUGAAAACCUUUAUGAGGACCAACGUUCCACCUUUGAAGCUCUUGGGUCGUGCCUUGCGUUUGUAGUGAGCUGCCGCCCUUUGUAGGUAGUCGGUCAUUCGAAUGGAUGCGUUCUCUCUCACUUCAUCCACCCAGUCCAAAUUUCUUCCUAGUUCCACAUUUGCAUCACCCUGUCGUCCUACCUCAAUCCGGAUAGUGGGUAGGCCUAUUUCUGUAGGGAUGACUACAUCCAUACCGUAUGCGAGGGCGAAGGGAGUGUUUCCUGUUGGUCACCCGGGUGUGCUUCGAUAGGCCCAUAGGACGCCGGGUAACUCCUCUACCCACUUCCAUUUGGCUUGCCCGAGCCUCUUCUUUAAGGUAGUUACCAGGGUUUUGUUUUUGCCUCUGCCUGUCCAUUGCUUUGAGGAUAAUGUGGUGUGGAGUAUAAAUUCCAGAUGUUAAGUUCCGAACAGAAAUUCCAGAAAGUGAUGCUAUCAAACUGCGGGUCGUUAUCAGCUAUAAUGGUUUGAGGGAUUCCAAAGCGACAGAUGAUGUUCUUCCAUACGAACUUGGUGAUGUCUUUGUCCUUGAUGCUAGCGUAUGCUUCAUCUUCUACCCAUUUACUGAAGUAAUCUGUGGUGACGAGUAGAAAUUUCUUCUAGGCAACUGCGGCUGGUAGGGGUCUUACUAUGUCCAUCCCCCAUUGCGCGAAGGGUCAGAGGCUAGAAAUUAGUUUUAAUGUCUCAGAUGGUGCAUGCGGUAUGAGGGCAUGCCUCUGGCAUUUGUCACACUUCUUGACAUAAGCUGCCGCAUCUUUCUCAUCGUGGGCCAAUAAUAUCCUUGCGAGUGGGCCUGAUGAGCUAGAGAUCGACCUCUAGAAUGAUUGUCGCACACACCCUCAUGUAACUCAUCCAAUACAUACAAGGCUUCCGAGUGAUCCAGGCACCUAAGGUAGGGGCCUGUGAAGGAUCGCUUGUAGAGGUGCCCCCCGAUUAGGGUGAAACGGGCGGCUUGUACUCAGAUCUUAUGUGCCUGCCUGGGUUCUUCGGGCAAAGUUCCUAUUCGGAGAUACCUUAUUAUGACUUUCGUCCAUUCUUAGCCGUCUGUUUGGCUCGCCUCAAUAGUAUUGCAAGUGGAGGCUUCUGUGAUGGAGGGGUCAGUUUGCACGUGUAUGGGCAAUAAUAUGGCCUCUUUGAUGGGGAGGGAAACGGCUAUCCCUGCCAGGGUGUCGGCACGUCCAUUAUCAGCUCAUGGAAUUUUUUUCGAUUGUUCAUUCGACAAACCGUUGCAGGGUGUCUCUUACUUUAGUCAGAUAUCGCGCCAUGCGUUCAUCUUUGGCUUCGUAUUCCUCCUGGACGUGUCUUACCACGAGUUGGGAAUCACUGUAGAUUCGAAGCUUGGAGACAGAUAAGGCCAAGGCAAGAUCUAAUCCGAAUAGGAUGGCUUAAUAUUCUAUUUCAUUGUUAGACGCGAGGAAUCCCAGUCGAAUAGCUUGCUCUAGCUGUUCUCCCGUUGGGGAUUGCAGUAGGAGCCCUACUCCGGAUCCUGAUGACCGAGAGGCUUCAUCAACCCGCAAGGUCCACCACUCUUCUUCGCAUGGUUCUUUGCGUUGAGCAGGUUUUUGAGAGUAUUUUAGCAUGAAGUCAGCCAUUACCUGCCCUUUCAUGGACAAUCUCGGUUGGUAUUCAAUUUCGUACUCGCUCAACUCUAUGGCCCAUUGAAGCAUUCUUCCGGUCAGGUCCGGCUUGUGCAGGAUGUUGCGAAGGGGCUGGUCGAUCAGCACGACCACUGGGUGGGCUUGGAAGUAAGGGCGGAGCUUCUAGGCGGCACUUCGAAUGGCCAAAGCUGUUUGCUCCAUCUUUGAGUACCUUGUUUCUACGUCAGUCAAUGCCCUGCUAACAUAAUAAAUAGGUUUUUGCUCCUUAUGCGAGGGGCAGUGGAAUAAAACAGCACUAAUUGCCCACUCUGAUACAGCCAGAUACAUAUACAAUUUUUCUCCAGGGAGGGGGCUGCUUAGAAUGGGUAGUUGUAUGAGGUAGUGCUUGAUUUUCUCGAAAACGCUCUGGCAGCUGUUCGUCUACCCGUUCGCAUCGGCUUUUCGUAUUGCCAAGAAGAAGAGUCGCAAUUCAUCAGUGAAGCGGGCUAUGAAACGCCCUAGUGCGACAAGCUUGCUUGUGAGGCGAUGUAAUUCAUUUUUGCUCCUAGGGGGUGGUGUUUCCAUGACUACCUUAACUUGAUCCCUCUUUGGCUGACCAUGAACCUUAGGAAUUUUCCAGCACUUACGCCGAAAGCGCAUUUGGACGGAUUCAGUUUCAUGUCAUACUUCCUUAAGAUGUGGAAGACUUCUUGUAAGUGAAAGGCAUGUUCACUUCGGGUUUUGCUCUUAACCACGAUAUCAUCGAUGUAUAUCUCCACUGUGCGGCCAACUAGAGGUUUGAAGAUCUUCGUCAUCAAUCUCUAAUAGGUGGCGCCAUCGUUUUUAAGUCCGAAUGGCAUGACUUUAUAACAAUAAAGCUCAUGCAGCGUUAUAAAGGCUGUCUUUUCUUCGUCGACCGGAGCUAUGGGGAUUUGGUGGUACCCGGAGAAGGCAUCCAAGAAGGAGAGCAUUCCCUAUCCGGCGGUGGAGUCUACGAUCUGGUCUAUCCGUGGUAGAGGGAAACUGUCUUUUGGGCAUGCGUUGUUGAGGUUGGUGUAAUCGACGCACACUCGCCAUUUGCCUUCUUUUUUGGGGACCACUACUACAUUUGCUAACCAGUCCGGAUACUCCACUUCUCUAAUAAAUCCGACCUCCAGCAAUUUGUCAAUCUCAUCCUGGAUAAUUUUUUGCCUGUCUGGGUGAAAAUGUCUAACCCUCUGUCGGACAAGUCUUGUUGUUGGCAAGACGUUAAGCCUAUGAGAGGUGAUUGAAGGGUGGUUCCCUUCAUGUCAAAAUGCGGCCAUGCAAAGACGUCAUGGCUUUGUCGGAGGGCGUCGUGGAUGUCUUGUGCUUCUUCGGGUGUCAAGAGGGAACUGAUAUGUGUGAGGUGAGUACUUUCUUCCGAUAUCUUGAUUGUCUGCAAGGGAUUCACUGCCGAGGGAUCUUUGUCCUCCGGAUUCAGUAAUUGUUAUUGGUCAAGUGCGCUGGUGGGUUCAGGGAGGGGCUCGUCGCCCUUGCUGAUCCCACCUUCUAGCACUAUCUGAUAGCACUGGCGGGCAGCCAACUGGCUACCGUAUAGAUUGGUUUGUCCAUCUUUAGUAAGAAAGCUCACCAUCUGAUGGUACGUGGAAGGGAUUGCUUUCAUAUAGUACAACCACGCGCGUCCUAAGAUGACGUUGAAGGGGGACAAAUCUCCUACCACUGAAAAUUGUACGUUAAGGGUGACUUGGACUGGCAGCACAAUGUCUCCAAGGGAGGUGGUUGCUACGCCAUUAAAUCCCAACAAGACCCACCCAGGAUUUUCUAAGUCGGAUAGUUCGAGACCCAUUUGAUUAACUACUGAUGCCUGCAAAAGAUCGAUCGAGCUUCCUGGGUUGAUUAGGAUCUAUCUUACAUCAAAGUCUCCCAUCACCAGAGAUAGGAUGAGGGCGUCACGGUGCGGUUGUAGUAUUCGCGUGGGAUCUACGGGAGGAAAAAUGAUUGUCCCAUCUACUGGCUGGGCACUUCCCUCAGUUGCUCCGGUCUAAAUGGUAUUGACGCGCUCGCGUACCGAUGUCGCCCGCAGCAACUUCUGCCUCUUUCUUUUGGAGUUGUACUCCUCAUCCAGAGGUCCUCCAUGAAUAUAAUUGAUGAUGGCUUUGGGGGAGAUUGGGGUCCUGAGGGACCCGGAAUCGCGAUUUCGGGGGGUAUCUCUACCUCUGGCAUCUGAGCAGAGGUAUUGCUUCAAAUGUCCCACUUUUAUGGGCCUUUCCACCAAAUACUGGAGACUCCUGCACGUCUUCAUAGUGUGACCAUGCUCCUUAUGGUAGGCACACUUCUGGCAAUGAUCUCUUUUGGCUGGGUCCGUUCUGAGGGGUCCGGGCCACCUGAAGCCGGACAGGUCCUGGAUCAUAGGGAGGAGUUUCUCAUAUGAUAUGGAAAGGGGUGUGAGUGGUGGCAGUUCUGGGCGACUGGGCUCUCCCUGCCUUCGUUCGGACGGCCUUGACCGGUCUAGAAGUUUGGAACUUCUUUCCGCACCGGUUCUGUAUGUCUGCCCAGCAACCAAAAUUUGUUGGGUGGCCGCACGCACGUCGUCUUCCAGCAUUGAGUAUUUGCUCGCGCGCCGGAACAGGUCAUCCAUUGUCGUGGGAGGCUUCUUAGCGAGCGACUUGAAGAAUGGAGUGCCUGGGCAUAUGCUUCGUUUGAAGAUCUGAAGGACAACAUCCAUGCUAUAAGCCUCUACUUGUAACACAGCUUGACCGAACCGUUUCACUAAUUCUCUCAAAGACUCAUUCUCCUGCAUUUUUAUGUUUUGCAGAGUGCUGAUGUUCUGUUUAUGCCGAGCGGAACACAAGUAUUGCCCCACAAAAGCUUCCGACAGGUCCCUGAAGUUAUCAACAGAGUUCGGGGGUAGUCGGUGAAACCAUGAGAGAGCCUGACCUUGUAGGCUGGUGGGGAAUACUUUGCAUAGCAACGCGUCGUUUCCUAUAUCGAGAGUCAUGAGUUGUCGAUAAUGCAUGAUAUGGUCGAAGGGAUCGCUGGACCCAUCAUACGUGGAAAAUUUUGGUACGAGAAAUCUCCUUGGGGAGUCGUAAUGAAUAAUAUGUGAGCAAAAAGGCAUGGAAAGCAUGUCAUCCAGCCUCUUGCUGAUGGAGCCAGUGGGUGGCUCAUUUGGAGAGUUUCUUCCAGCUUGUCGUACCGCUUGGUGCGGGAGGAUGUUCUACACAACGAGUGCGAUCAAAGGGUUAGGGUACGCUUCCCAAGUUGUGGCCACUGGUGGCCUUAUCUUCCCAGGCUCCUGUGGGCCUAGCCUUGCGCGCAUCGCGUCCGACAGUUGGGGUCUCUUGUCGCGUUGUCUCUUUGAUGAGAGAUGAGUAGAAUCUAAGCUUUCAUCCUGGGGAGCUUGGUGCAUGGGCGUGGGCCGUUCUUGAGGUUGAUUAUUGCACCUCAGGAAUGACCCCCGCAAUCCCAAGAUAUAUCGAUUCUGGAUCAGGCCUCGAAUUUGCUCCCUGGCCUCUUGAGCGCUGGCCAUGAGAAGGCCCCGUCGAUGAAGCCUGGAUGCGUAACACAGUGUUUUCUUCUCUCAAUCUCGUUGUUUCUUGGAGGAGAGCCUGCAUUUGUCGCUUACUCUCCAACUUUCGUCUUUCCAUGGCUUCACGCCAUUCGAAAUAACCUUCACCUCCUCUAGCCGACGAGUGGCUCCUAGAAGGUGUGGACAUCUUCGCCGUCGACUGAGCAAAGUGUUCCCACAGACGGCGCCAAUGUUGAUGCCUUGCGUCCCAAGGAUCCACGCAGCUGCCAAGUGGACGGCGCUUUCAACCAAGAAUGAAUUCUGGCUCAGUCGAUCCUACAAAAGAUGUCCGGACACACCCUUCGAUGGUUUUGUUAGCCAUGGCUCAAUGGAUCAGGCUGUUGCCCUUUUUUCUGAGUUAGUUGGCCUACCUUCUUCUUUGCGUGAAGGUUCUUUUAUAUAGUGUCAGAAGCUCUGCUCCCCUCUUUAAUGGCGGGAAGACUUUUUGGCUUGUCAUGAUGUCUCUGAGGUGAUGGCAGAAUCAUCAUCACCUCCCAGGAGGCUGUCAAAAAUCGUGGGAGGUGACUUGCCAUCACUCCUGUCCUUUCGCUCUGCAGACGAUGAAACAUGGGCUGUGAUUUUAGUUAUCUCCGUCGGUGAAGCUUGAGGAGGAAAAAACAAAACACAAGGUCAUUUCGAUACUCUACGUACUCUUUAGGCUUUACCUGGACAUUAAGAAGAUAAUCAAAGAUUCCAAAGCAGAAUAUGACGAGAGGGAGGUUUGUGGUUUGGUACGUAUUGUAGCUUCAGAUUUGGUCUGUCCCAUAGAGUAAAAGUGAUGGUCCCCAGUUUAAAGCAACGAGGUAAUUUUAUCAUUGAAUUUGCUAGAUUUAGAAGGAUUCAUCGUUUCAAUAUGAUGCCACUUAUUAAUUGUUUCCCGGUAUUCCAGACAUGCUCUUGCUUACAACUCCAAGACAAACGCAUCUCUUUAGAGGCACUGUCCUUGAGAAAUGGUGAUGUUCCUCCAAGCUGUGAGAAAAUCCAAGGGGUUUUUCCCGAGGAUUCUCAAUGUGUGGCCCCGUUGGGUUGAACUGUCCGGGUUAGAAGGUGGAGUGGACUGGGUUGGCUCAACCAUCUCGGAAUAUGGAUUCUGCGUCAAGGGUUCGGCUGCAUCAUGUUGGAGAUGGACUGAUUGGCCCAUGUUUUUGUAAGGGAGUCGAAUCUCAGAGACUGGGCCUAGAUUGAGAAAUUGCAACCAUGCAAUAAAGCCCGUGUGACGUGCUCUUGGAGAUCAAAACAUGAUCCGUAUAACAAACAACCUACUGCCGACCUACACCACAGAUCGUGGUGCUGGCCACCCGUACGGUCUAGAGACCACAUGUACAAGCUCAUGACGCUAUUCCUUCCUAUCACCAAUUUGGAAAUGGCCCACCUAAGAAACAUGUAGCCAUGAUCAAACGGGAAUCCCAUGAUGAGAAAUUGUAGAGAAGAGUUAAAAAUAAAAAAUAAAAAGAAGAAAAAAGAAAGGUCAAUACCACUCGAUCAGGUUCCAGAAAAGGGCAUGUGGAAUAAGAAAUUAAUGCACUGAACGCGAACCAUGGCAGUCCCUCUAUGACAACACCAGUUAAUAGUCGUGUUGUGUCCCCACCUUCUGGAAAUGCCAUCCCUCCCACCAAAUCUCGGUAAUCAAAAUAAAAUGGGUUAUUAUCUUCAACUGCUUGCGUGCCCAAAUCAAUCACGUUUCCGAUAAGCAGUAUAGUUAGUUCUCUCAUUAACAUUUCUUCAGGAUCAAGGAUAUUAUUGAUUUUCAUUGACUUGCUCCUAUUUUGCAUUGGUUGAUGGAGAUAAACACACACAUAUUAAUCCUGAUCUUAAAAAUUGGUAUUAAAUCUGUUCAAGGAACCUAGUCAAGGAAAGCAUAAUCUUGAUUGAAACCUUGCACGCACAGCAUUGUCCACUUGUGGUUUAGCCUGGAUGCUUCUGAAAGCAUCAUGAAUGGAUUCCGAGACUUGUGGUUUAUGCCUGCAUGUUUCUGAAAGCAUCGUGGAUAGGUUCCAAGACCUCAUCAUUACUAGUUUCCCACCCCAAAAUUCCAAGAAGCCACCAAAAUACUCCUUUGAAUGGCUGCACAGGAUUUACACACUAGAAGAAGCCAAAAAAAUGAGACCCUUGGCUGAAGCAUAAUUGGACCCUUGUAAGUCUUUUACUAGAAGAAGCCAAAAAAAUGGGACCCUUUGGCUGAAGCAUAAUUGGACCUUUGUAAGUCUCUUAAUAGAAGAAGCCAAAACAAUGGGACCCCUUGGCUGAAGCAUAAUUGGGACUCUUCAGGCACAUACGGCAUGUGCAAAUAUCUAGAUAUUUUAAUCCCAAGUAAAAUGAUGCUCCUUUUUUCGUAUUCUUUUGUUUGACGUAUGCAUCAGGAUCGGACCGCAUCUAUGUUAUUUUUUAUUCCAAAUUUCAAAUAAAGACGAGACUUCGCUACAAAAUUGUCAACGCCUUUGGGACCCAUAAACCUUUUCUCAAACAAUGAUUAAAGGCAAAUUUUUGUAUUGAUAUAAUGCAACUAGCCAACCAUAUGGGUGUAAGGAUGAGCAUGCAAUCCCAUCAAAAUGGCUUCUGGACCCACACUAUCUUAGUUCGUGGCAGUCAAAUCGCAAUAUAAUAGACGGGGAGUGUUAGAUUUUCUUAAUGAGGUCCAGAAGUCUUGUCCAUAAUCUUUAGGAAUAAUACUAGACUUUGUCAAAUGGGUCUAAAAAUCUAACCCAUAAUAUUUUGACAUUUCCGUCUAUGUAAUCAUGGUUAGGUCCCUAAUUCUUUAACCUCUAUUCACACACAUGUAUCAUCGUUUAAGAUUGAUUAAAAGUUUAAAAACAUCACAACUUAUUUCAAUAUCAAAUUUGAUUUUCGAAUUCCUGAACUAUCAACUAUAGAAAAUAUGUUUUGAUUCUUCAUUUAUUUUUAUAUUUAAUAUAUGUCAUUAAGGUUUUAAGCAUAUUUAGAUUGAUUUUAACACUUAUAAUUGGUAUUAAAACCAUUUUAUUGUCUCUACCUUAAUUAUGUGCAACCUAAAAAAAUUGAUUAUGUGCCUUAAUUAUUUUCUUUUAAUCCUUAUGGUAAAAAAAAUUUCUUACGAAUUUGGAAGAAAACUGUUUGUAUUAUGCUUUUGAAAGAUGAAGAAGUCAAGUUUUGGGCAUGAAAAAUGAGGGCUAUUAAUAUCCAAUCGAUCCCUACCUCCCCUUACAACUUUUACAGUGCAAUGGCCUAGCUAUACCCCUAUUGAUGGGAGCAAGUUGUAGAGUUAUGAUUGUAUGUUGUCCAUAUUAUAGAGAUUUUGAUAUAGUGGUUUAUAGUUUUGAAUCAUUCUUUACAACUUGUAACAAUUGUAUCAUUAUUCCUUUUAAGAGAAAAGGGGUAUAUAGUGGUUAAUAUGUCCUUGUCAACACCCUUUAAAAUCAAAUCCCACAUUUUCUUCAUAAAGUAAUAUAGAUUAGGUACGAACUUCCAGUUUUUAAAUCUGGAAAGCUAUCAAAAAUUAGACAUUUAUACCAAUAAAAAAUAUGAAAAUUUUCCAGAAAUUUAAAAUUUUGGAUAUUUUGUGAAAAUUUCAUAAAUUUGGUAUUUUUGUGAAAAAAAAAAAUCAUAUUUUUGGUGUUUUUAUGAAAAAUACAUAAAUUUGGCAUUUUAUGAAAACCAUUUUGUGGAAUUAAAAUUUGGAUAUUUAUGUGCUUAAAAUCAUGUCUUUUUUGUAUGUAUAAUUUAUUGUUUUCAUUAUAUAUGUAAUUUGAAUUUUUACUAUAUAAAUUUAAACAGUGUUCAUAUAUGUAAAUAUUGCUUAUGGUUGCAUGCAAUUUAUAUAAACAGUUUUGUGAAUAAAAUUAAAUAUCUAUUGAUCUAUAUAAUUUUAAUUAAUUAGGGAUUAGCCACAACAUCUUUAAUUAUGUAAAAUUAUAUAUUAAGUACUUUAGGAUCACAUAUAUAAAAAUGACAUUGAUUGUAAUUAAUCAUAUUUAAAUAUAAUAAAUUUUAUCCUUUAUCAUAUUUGUAUUAUUAAUAAUGAUAGAAUAUCAAAUUAUAUUCUUAAUUUACCUAUAGGAAUUAGGAAAGGAACAUAAUUGAUAGUUUUAUCAUAAAGUUAGAUGAAUCUAAUUGAAUUAGAACUUUAGUACACAUACAAGUUUUAUGUCACUACUUCAUAUUUUUGAAACAUGAUUUAUAUUGGUAAAACAUGAUAUAUAUUUAUUAACCUCAAAUUACUAUUAUAUAAGCAUGUAUGUUUAAUAUUUAUGCAGUUAUGCAAUCUGUGAAUUUUUCCGAUAUAAGAUGUGAUAUUCUUGAACUAAAGGGUGACAACUACAAAGUAUGAAAGGAAAGAAUUCUCUUUCAUUUGAGGUAGAUGGACAUUGAUUAUGUUAUUAGGAAAGACGAACCAAGCAUUACCACAACUAGCACUGUAGAUGAAAAGGCUCUUUAUAAAUGAUGGGUGUGAUCCAAUUGCCUUAGUGUGAUGUUCAUAAAAAACAAAAUCUCUACUGGUAUUCAAUGUUCAGUUGAUCAACAUGAUAAAGUUAAGGCAUUAUUAAAGGCUACUGAUGAACAAUUUCAAACUUCAGAUGAGACACUUGCCAGUACCUUGAUUAUGAAGUUUUCAUCCUUAAGGCUCACCAGUGUAAGAAGUGUAUGUGAACACAUCAUGCAAAUGAGGGACAUUGUAACUCAACUAAAAACUCUUGAGGUUGAAAUGUUUGAAUCUUUCCUUGUGCACUACAUACUGAACACUUUUCCACAACAACUUCUGACCAUGUGUGUUCAAGAGGUAUGGAGGUUGGUAAUGGAAAUUGGUGAGAAUGCAUUAUUCGCAAAACAAGGAAAUAACCAAAACCAAGCCAAAAAAAAAAAAAAAAAAGGAAAGGUAAAAUACUGCCCCAAUGAGAAAUAAAAAAAGAAUCCAAGUGCUUCAUCUGCAAAAAGAAAGGACACAUGAAGAAAAAUUGCUCCAAAUUUCAUAAAUGACUUGAGAAAAAAGGUAAACCAAUCUCAUUUGUUUGUUAUGAAUCUAAUAUGGUUGAUGUUAAGCAUGACACAUUGUGGAUUGAUUCUAGUUCUACAAUCCAUAUUUCAAAUACCUUGUAGGGUACACAAAACCUAAGGAAGCUAGUGGGAAGUGAGUAGUGCAUCUAUUCAAGAAACAAGAUGCAUUCAUAUGUAAAAGCUCUUGGAACAUGCACUUUAGUUUUAAGUAGUGGUUUUGUUCUAAAUUUGGAAAAGACAUUUUACAUUCCAAGUUUUUCUAAGAAUUUGAUUUCAGUUUCAAGACUUGUUCCUUUUGGUUAGUCCUUUUAACUUUUCAAAAACAUCAUUUAGUUUAUUUUAUAAAUCUAAUCUUGUUGGGAAUGGUACAUUGUCUAAUAGUCUUUUCUUUAUUAAUUUGCAAAAUGAUACUACUCAUAAUGUUAUGCAUCUUCACACUGGUGUUAAACGAUGUGUUAUGAAUGAAGAUUCCUUUAUGUUAUAGCACCGAAGAUCAAAACAUAUCUCAAUAGAAAGAAUUAAGAGAUUAGUAAAUUAUGGAGUAUUUAGUACUUUGGAUUUUACUGAUUUUGAUAUUUGUAUGAACUUCAAUAAGAGAAAAUAGAUCAACAAGUAAAAAAAAAUGUGCUAAAAGGAGCAUAGACAUAUUGAAGAUCAUACAUUCAGACAUUUGUAGUCUAGACAUGGACUCAUAUGGUCUAAAAUACUUCAUCUCUUUCAUAAACGAUUACUCAUGAUACAUGUAUCUCUACUUGCUUCAUAACAAGAAUGAAACAUUAAAUGUUGUCAAGUUUUUAAGGCCAAAUUAGAAAAUCAAUAUGGAAACAAAUUAAGAUAAUGAGAACAAAUAGAGAUGGAGAAUAUUAUGGUAAAUACACUAACGAUGGACAAACACCCGGUCCAUUUGUGAAGUUUCUUCAAGAGCAUGGGAUAGUUGCCCAAUAUACCAUGUAUGGUUCUCCAUACUAGAAUGGCAUAGCAGAAAAAAUAAACUGAAUGUUAUUGGACAUGAUACAGAGUAUGCUUAGUAGCUCCAAGCUUAUUAAAUCCUUGUAGACUGAAGCUUUUAAAAUGACAAUGUAUAUAUUGAACCGAGUCCCAACUAAUGUUGCCCUAAAAACGUCAUUUGAAUUAUGGAAAGAUUGGAAACCGAGUUUGCAACAUAUACGCAUUUGGGGAUGCCCAUUUGAAGUAAGAGUUUACCACCCACAAGAGAAUAAACUAGACCUAAGGACCAUUAGUGGAUUUUUCGUUGGAUAUGCAAAAAGGUCUAAAUGGUACAUAUUCUACUAUCCCACAACACUAGGAUUGUGUAAUCAAGAAAUGCAAAAUUCCUUGAGAAUGACUUGUUCAAUGAGAAUAUCAAACCUAAAGCAUAGUCUCUGAGAAAGAUCAAUCUUCCAUUUCAAGUGAAAGGUUGGUUAUUAUUCACAACACCUCUCAAGUUCAAAUGGGAGUUGAGCAACCAAUCGUUGAAGUUCCACAAGCUAUUGAGAAUAAUCCAAUAGAUUAAGUUGUUCAGGAAAUGCCAAAAAUUGUUGAACAACCAAUUGAACAACAUAAUCCUCAGGAAAAUUUUGAUUCAACAUUAAAGAGAUCUACUAGAGCAAGGAAAUUAGCAAUUCCUAGUGAUUAUGUUAUGUAUCUAAAAUAAUUGGAUUAUAACAUUUGAGCCGAAAAUGAUCUUGAAACAUUUUCACAAGCCAUUAGUUGCGAAAGAUCAAAUUUAUGGUACAAUGCCAUGAAGGAUGAGAUGAAUUCUAUGGCAUCUAACGAAGUCUAGAAUCUUGUUGAGUUGUCUGAUAGUGCAAAAGUCAUAGGAUGUAAAUAGGCUUUUAAGACAAAAAAAGACUCAUUGGACAAUAUUGAAAGAUAUAAAGCAAGACUUGUUGCUAAAAAAUUCACUUAAAAGGAAAUAAUCGACUAUAAGGAGUCCUUCUCUCCUAUAUCUAAGAAAGAUUAUUUUCGUAUUAGUAUGACAUUGGUUACACAUUUUGAUUUAGAGGUACAACAAAUGGAUGUGAAAAUGGCUUUCCUUAAUAAAGAUCUAAAGGAAGAAGUUUACAUAAAACAACCAAAAGAAAUUUCCUCUAGAGAUGGUGAGCAUUUGGUGUGCAAGCUCAAGAAAUCCAUAUAUGGAUUGAAACAAGUCUCCCGUUAGUGGUACUUGAAAUUCCAUGAUGUUCGUUAUCUCUUCGUGUGGGUCUGUAGAGAAUAGUAUAAAUCAAUGUAUAUACCAGAAAGUUAGUAAGAGUAAAAUAUGUUUACUUAUUCUAUAUGUGGAUGACAUUUUACUUGCAACUAAUGAUAAGGGUUUGCUACAUGAGGUAAAACAAUUUCUAUUUAAAAACUGACAUGAAAUAUUUGGGUGAUGCUUCUUAUGUCAUUGGCAUUAAGAUACAUAGAGAUAGAUUUUGAGAAAUUUUGGGUUUGUCUCAAAAAACCUAUAUCAACAAAGUUUUAGAGAGAUUUUGGAUAAAAUAUUGUUCACCAAGUAUAGCUCCUAUUGUGAAUGGUGACAGGUUCAAUUUGCACUAGUGCCCAAAAAAUGAUAUUGAAAUGAAACAAAUGAAGAACAUUUCAUAUGUUUCUGUUGUUGGAAACUUAAUGUAUGCUCAAGUCUACAUAAGACUUGACAUUACAUUUUUUGUUAGGAUGUUAAGAAAAUAUCAAAGUAAUUCAGGUACAAACCACUGAAGAGUUGCAAAAAAUGUGUUAAGGUGUUUUCAAGGGACGAAGGACUACGUACUUAUGUAUAAACGGACUAAUAAUCUGGAGGUGAUUAGCUACUCAAAUUCAAACUUUGUUGGUUGUGUUGAUUCACAAAAAUCAACUUCUAGAUUCAUUUUUAUGUUCGUUGGUGGAAUUGUAUCCUGGAGGAGUGCAAAGCAAACUUUGUCUACUACUUCCACUAUAGAGGCUGAGUUUAUAUCUUGUUUUGAGGUUACCUCGCAUGGUGUAUGGAGGAAAAGUUUCAUUUUUUAACUUAGAAUUAUAGAUUCAAUUUCUAAGCUAUUUAGGAUAUAUUGCAACAAUUUAUGUGUAGUUUUUAUGGCUAAAAACAAUAAAAGUGGUAGUCGAAGCAAACACAUCAACAUCAAGUAUUUAGUCAUAAGGGAACAUGUUAAGAAGAAAAUAAUGGUUAUUGAAUACAUCAGCACUGAGUUGAUGAUAGUUGAUCCUUUGACAAAAGGCAUGCCACCAUUGAAAUUCAAGAAUCAUGUGAAUAGAAUGGGACUUCAUUCCUUUAUAUGAUUUUCGUUGUAAUAAUGAAUGUUAUUUGUGAUGAAACUUUAUUAAUGUGAUAAUAUUUUCUCUUAUUUGUUUCUAAUUUGUAUACACAUUCAUUCAUUUGAGAAAUAUUACUAAUGUUUGGACCUGAAAUAAACCUUAGGCUUAUUCAUUAAGUAAUGAAGGCAAGUGUUUAAGAGACAUGAUGCAUUGUGAUACAUGGAAGAUAAUACUUGUUUCAGAGAAUCUAUUGUCAUGAUUUGUGUAUUUUGUUUCUUACUAUGGUGAAUGAUGGAAUAUAUAGACCAAGUGGGAUAAUAUUAGAUUUUCCUAAACAGAUCUAGAAAUCUGGCCUAUAAUCUUCCAUUAAUUUUGGGAAUAAUGCUAGACUUAAAUAGGUCUAGAAAUGCUGUCUCUAUUAUUCUAGAAUUUCUAUUGAUUUAGUUUUACAUUUUUAUUGUCAUUAACAACCAUAAAUAAAUUAUGGUAUUGACUCUGUGAUGGGCAGGGUAAAUAUAAAUAGAGCCUUCGUGGUUAGGUCUCUAAGCUUUUGACUUCGAUUUUUAUUCAAAUACAUAUACACUAUUGUUUAAAAUUGAUUAAGAGUUUAGAAGCACCUCAACCCAUUUGAAGAUCAAAUUUGAUUUCUAAAUUCUCAAAUUGAGGUAUGUUCCUCUUCUCCUUUAUUUCCGCAUUUGAUAUAGGCUACACUGGAAGGACCCAGUGUUGUCUCUAUAAUUGACUCUUAUUUCGUCGUCAUGUUUCCGCCUCAAAAAACCCCGAUUCCUUGUUUACACACUGCUACCAAAGGGGAUAGAUUCCUUGUUUACACACUGCUACCACAGGGGAGAGAGGAGGAGAGCUACCAACCAAACAAUGGAGGUUGAAGCUCAGCUGAGCAGCAACACGAGGAAGGCUCUGCUGGUUCUGAGUUGUGUGAUUCUCUCAAUUGGACACUGCGGUGGUCCCUUGGUGAUGCGCCUAUACUUCGUCCGUGGCGGCGAGAGGAUAUGGUUUUCCAGUUGGUUGGAAACGGCUGGGUGGCCCUUGAUCCUAGUCCCUCUCAUCAUCACUUACAUGCACCGCCGAACUAAGCAAGGCUCCCAUGCCAAGCUCUUCUUCAUGAAACCUCCUCUGUUCGUAGCCUCCGCUGUUAUCGGUGUCCUCACCGCCCUCGAUGACUACCUCUACGCUUAUGGCGUAGCAAAACUGCCCGUUUCAACAAUUGCUCUCAUCAUCGCAAGCCAGCUCGCUUUCACAGCAGCCUUCGCAUUCCUCUUAGUGAAACAAAAGUUCACCUCAUACUCCGUAAAUGCCAUAUUUCUCUUGAGUAUUGGUGCUGGUGUCUUGGCUCUACACACUAGCUCCGACCGCCCUGCUAAUGAGUCCAACAAAGAAUAUUACCUCGGGUUUUUCAUGACACUUGCAGCUGCAGCGCUCUAUGGUUUCAUUCUCCCCCUGGUUGAAUUAACAUACAAGAAAGCAAAGCAGGCAAUAACCUACUCACUGGUCAUGGAGAUUCAAAUGGUGAUGUGCUUCUUCGCCACCUUCUUUUGCACAGUGGGGAUGCUGGUUAAUAAUGACUUUCAGGUGUAUUCCUCUUUUCUAUCCACCCAGUUACCUUUAACACAUUCAACCAGAUAGAACCACCAAAAACAAAGAUUGAUAAUUUAUGUUUGCUUCUUCCUCAUUUAAUUUUGUAGGCAAUUCCCAGAGAGGCAAAAGAAUACGAGCUUGGAGAAGCUAAAUAUUAUCUGGUGGUGGUAUGGAAUGGGAUCAUGUGGCAGUGCUUCUACUUAGGAGCAAUAGGAGUCAUCUUUUGCGCUUCAUCUUUGGUAGCCGGUAUUGUGCUUGCUGUCCUACUCCCCGUGACUGAGAUCUUGGCUGUUAUUUUCUUCCACGACAAAUUUCAAGCAGAGAAGGGGGUUUCACUUGCUCUCUCUCUUUGGGGUUUUGUUUCAUACUUCUACGGCGAGAUAAAGGAUAGCAAGAAAAAGAAGAAUCCCACUCCGGAGACGGAGCUGCCUCAAACAGUCAAUCCAUGAUAAACAAAUGUCUUUCUUUUCCCCACAGAAGAGGGGGGACAGGAUUCGCAUAUAAGCAUUUACUAGGGAAUUUAAAGAAACACUUCAUCUGUAUGUUACAGGCAGUUCAUAACCAAGACUAAAGUGGGUUUCUUUCCAGUUUUGAGAUGAAGGAAUUCCAAUAAAAUAUGGACUGUAAGGUCAAGGCGUGCUAAAUGUGAAGUCGAUACAGAGUGGGAAAAUAUGACAUAUUUUGAGACUUAAUAGUCAUAUCCAAUUUCUAUUAUCUAUAAUAUUAUAUAGUAUUAUAAAAUAAUCUCUCUCAUCCUUGGAUAUGGUUAAACUAUGUUAAAAUUUGAGUAUUCUGUUUAUGGUUGGUUUUAUCUCUGUAUGUUCUUAUUACAGCUUCCACUUAACACAUCAACUUAGUAUUAAAACCUUGGUUGAAUAUUUUUUAGAAGAACCAAAGAUAAUAGAAGAUUGUGGUCCAUGAAAAAAACCCUAACACACACUAUCAAUGUACAAUAGUGUAUACCAUAAAUAAAUAAAAAAGAAGAAAUAUUCACUUAAACGAAAUUUUUAACAGUAGAAAUGGUUGAAAAAUGCUUCCAAUUCCUAAAGAAUAUUUUAAAUAUUGAUUGGGAACUUGCAACAUUUCCCAAUAUUAGAAUCAAUAAGGAAACGGUCUUACUGAGAAAGAAUUGAAGUCAUCGUCAUCCAGGCAAGAUGAUGGGCCAUUAAGGUUAGGUUGGGAUCAAGAGAAGCUGGAUAUGGAUUGUUUUGUUAAUCCAGUAUAACUUAAAAGCUUAAUUAAGUUAUGUAAUAGUGGACCAACAGUGCACUUUGCACUGAUUUGGGUUACAUGUUAGGGUCGUAGCCCAAGUAGGUUGAUAUAUGAUGGUGGACCAACAACUGCAUGCGAAUGAAUGGCUAUGUGAAUUUCCUAAGACUCGGUUCAUUUCAACUUCUACUGAUUGCAUCGAAACUUUCGGGAAGAAUUGGCGUAUGGAUCUUCCCUAAAUGGGUGUUGACGCCGCCAAAAUAGGCACCUCCAAAUACAUGGCCUUAAGCCACCUACAGCAUAGCCGCCCAAGACGCAAGCAUCUGUAGCUAUCCAAAACGAGCUCGGCUAAAAAUAAGUGCCUGCAUAUGAGAUAUGACUCACAUCCAGGACUGGCAGGUUGACCGAACUGACCCUCAAAAGAAGGCCUCACCAACUCUUAAACAUUAUCGGAACAGGCUGGCAGGCUUUAACACAUGCCCUAACCAUAUAAACGUAAAAAAAAAAAAAAAGAAAAAAAAAAAGAAGAAGAUCAUAAUAAGACAAAAAGGGGAGAAAGAAAUUCUCUCGUCUACAGGUGUCGAAGCUUCAUUCAACACAGAGUUGUAAGAUUACCAAUGUUGGGUGCAGACCUAUCCUUUCUAGUUAUCUCCGCCGGUGAAGCUUGAGGAGGAAAAACAAACCACAAGGUCAUUUCGAUACUCUACUCUUUAGGCUUUACCUGGACACUAAGAAGAUAAUCAAAGAUUACAAAGCAGAAUAUGAGGAGGGAGGUUUGUGGUUUGGUACGUAUUGUAGCUUCAGAUUUGGUCUGUCCCAUAGAGUAAAAGUGAUGGUCCCCAGUUCAAAGCAACGAGGUAAGAGUUUUAUCACUGAAUUUGCUGGAUUUAGAAGGAUUCAUCGUUUCAAUAUGACGCCACUUAUUUAUUGUUUCGGGGUAUUCCAGGCAUGCUCUUGCUUACAAUUCCAAGACAAACGCAUCUCUUUAGAGGCACUGUCCUUGAGAAAUGGUAAAGUUCCUCCAAGCUGUGAGAAAAUCCAAGGGGUUUUUCCCGAGGAUUCUCCAUGUAUGGCCCCGUUGGGUUGAACCGUACGGGUUAGAAGGUGGAGUGGACUGAGUUGGCUCAACCAUCUUGGAAUAUGGAUUCAGCGUCAAGGAUUCGGCUGCACCAUGUUGGAGAUGGACUGACUGGCCCAUGUGUUCUGUAAGGGAGUCCAAUGGGCACCCAUGCAAUAAAAGCCCGUGUGACGUGCUCUUGGAGAUCAAAACAUGAUCCGUACAAUACAACUUACUGCCGACCUACGCCACAGGUCGUGGCGCUGGCACCCGUAGGGUCUAGAGACCACAUAUUCAAACUGAUAAUUACAGUAUUCAUUCCUGUCACCAAUUUCGAAAUGGCCCACCCAAGAAACAUGUGGAGCUUUCACCCAAAAUAUUGCGUUUUAAAAAAAAAUUUCAAAAAAUAAAGUUGUUUUAAAAAUAAUGUACGAUGUAAUAAAUAUAUACCACAUAAGCUGUCAUGGCAUAAAACUGUAGUUGAUGACUACGGUUUUAUUUUUUUAAAAUGGUUAGAAACCGUAGUUACCAACCACGGUUUUAACUUUAAGUUUAAAGCCGUAGUUGGUGACUACGGCUUUGACAUUUUUUUAAAAUGGUCAAAGUCAUAGUUACCAACUACGAUUUUAACUUUAUAUAUAUUUAUAUAUAACUUUAAUUUUUUUAAUAAAAAUAUUAUAUUAUUUUGAUUUUAAAUAUACUUAUUUCAUUAUUUUAAAAAUAAUAAUAUAUGAAAUUAAAUAAAUGAUAUUUUUAAUUUGAUAUAAAUAUAUUUUUAAAUUUUAUUAAAAUAAUAUAUUCUAUAUUUAAUAUAAAUAUAUUUAUUUAAUUAUAUUUAAAUAUAAAUAAAAUAUAAUAAAUUAUGAAAGCCUAUUAAAAAACAAAUAAUAUAAAUUAUUAUAUUAAUUAAUAAUUUUUUAUAUACUAUAUGUAAGUGGUAUAUAAUGUCACAUGUAUAUAAGUUCAAUUAAGUUUAAAAUUUAUCAUAUUUUAAUUUAAGUUCAUAAUAUUAUAUCGAUAUGAUAAUAAUUUAUUUAUAUAUUUAAAUAAAUAUGCUAAAUUUUAAACUUAAAUUAAAAUUAUAUAUAUAUAUAUAUAUGUGUGUGUGAUAUUAUAUACUAUUUACAUAUAAUAUAUAAAAAAAUUAUUAAUUAAUAUAAUAAUUCAUAUUAUUUUUUUCUCCAAAUAGGCAUUUAUAAUUUAUUUAUUUUAAAUAAACAUAAUUUAUUAUAUUUCAUUUAUAUUUAAUUUUAAUUAAAUAAUUAUAUUUAUAUUAAAUAUAGUGUCAAUUGUUUUAAUAAAAUUUAUUUAUAUAUUUAAAAAUAAUGUGAUAAAUUUUAAACUUAAAUUAAACUUUUAUAUAUAUAUAUAUAUAUAUAUAUAUAUAUAUGUGUGUGAGAGAGAGAGGUAUUAUAUACCACUUAUAUAUAAUAUAUAAAAAAAUUAUUAAUUAAUAUAAUAAUUUAUAUUACUUUUUUAUUUUUCUAAAUAGGUAUUUAUAAUUUAUUUAUUUUAAAUAAAUAUAAUUUAUUAUAUUUUAUUUUAAUUAAUUAAUUAUAUUUAUAUUAAAUAUAGUGCCUAUUGUUUUAAUAAAAUUUAAAAUAUAUUUUUAUAUCAAAUUAAAAAUAUCAAUUAUUUAAUUUCGUAUAUUAUUAUUUUUAAAAUAAUAAAAUAAGUAUAUUUAAAAUCAAAGUAAUAUAAUAUUUUUAUUAAAAAAAUUAAAAUUAUAUAUAAAUAUAUAUAAAGUUAAAACCGCAGUUGGUGACUACGGUUUUGACCAUUUUUAAAAAAAAAAAUCAAAGUCGUAGUCACUAACUACGACUUUAAACUUAAAGUUAAAACCGUGGUUGGUAACUACGGUUUCUAACCACUUAAAAAAAUAAAACCGUAGUCACCAACUACAGUUUUAUGACAUGGCAGUUUAUGUAGCACAGACGCAUUAGAUCGGUCAUUAUUUUCAAAGCAAUUUUAUUUUUUGGAAUUUUUUUUUAAAACACACUAUUUUGGGUCAAAGCUCAAUGGCCAUCAAACGGGGAAUCACGUGAUGAGAAAUUGAAGAGAAGAAUUAAAAACAAAAAAUAAAUAAAAAGAAGAAAAGGAAAGGUCAAUACCCCUCAAUCAGUUUCAAGAAAAGGGCAUGUGUUAUGAGCAAUGCACUGAAACGCGAACCAUUUCAGCCCUCCAAAGGACAACACAAGUUAAUAGCCCGUGUGGUCCCAACCUUCUGGAAAUACGAUUCCUCCCACCAAAUCUUGGUAAUCAAAAUAAAAUGGGUUAUCAUCUUCAACUGCUUUGCAUGCCUAAUGAACAUUGUUUUCGAUUACCAGUAUAGUUAGUUCUCUCAUUAACAUUUCUUCAGGAUCAAGGAUAUUGUUUUCAUUGACUUGCUCCUAUUUUGCAUUUGUUGAUGGAGAUACACAACGCACACACAUUAAUCCUAAUCUUAAAAAAUGGUAUUAAAUCUGUUCAAGGAAGCUAAGCAGGAAGAGCAUAAAACCUUGCAUUCACAGCAUUGUCGAUUUGUGAUUUAGCCCGGAUGCUUCUGAAAGCAUUAUGGAUAGGUUCGAAGCCCUCAGAAAUUAGACUAAUGCCAUGUUUACGUCAUCAUUACUAGCUUUCACACCAAAAUUCCAAAAAGAUAAACGCUAUGGUAUUAGUUUAAUGUUUAUCUCAUUGCCACCACACUAGUCAUCUAGAAGGUUUUACUGCUUUGAAUGGCUGCACAGGGUUUACACAAUAGAAGUAAAAAAAUGGGGCCUCUUCGCUGAAGCAUAAUUGGACUCUUGUGAGUCUAACCAUUAAUCUGGAACUGGAAAGCUGCCCUCUUUUAUUUAACUCCUAUAAUGAAGAUAAUGAUCCGAGACAUCAAUGUUUUCAACGAAAACUGGAUCGCUACACUUGGAUGUCCAGCAAAUUUUCAAUUUAAAUAAUGUACAAGACAAUCAAGGAGGUGAAAAAAAUUGAUGAAGCGAAUCAACAGUUUCUGAUACCAAUUUCAGGCACAUACGGCAUGUGCAAAUAUCUAGAUAUUUUAAUCCCAAAUAAAAUAAUGGUUCCUUUUUUCGUUUUCUUUUGUUUGACGUAUGCAUCAGGAACGGAACAUAUCUUAUAUUAUUUUGAUUCCAAAUUUCAAAUGAAGACGAGAUUCCAUAACUGAAUUGUCAACACGACCUUUGGGACUGAUGAACCUUAUUCAAACAAUGAUGAAAGGCAAAUUUUUGUAUUGAUAUAAUACAACUAGCCAACUGUAUGGGUGUAAGGAUCAAGGAAGACUAGGAAAUUUCGAAGGAUGAGACUACAACCCCAUCAGAAUGCCUUCUGGACCCACACUAUUUUAGUUCGUGGCAGUCAAAUCGCAAUAUAAUAGACGUAGGGAAGGACCCAAUGUUAUCACUAUAAUUGACUCUUAUUUCGUCGUCAUGCACCGCCUCAAAAAACCCGAAUUCCUCUUGGCACUGCGACUUCAAGGGAGAAGGAGAAGGAGUAGGAGAGGGGAGAGGGGAGAGGGGAGAGGGAGGGAGAGCUACCAACCGAACAGUGGAGAUGGAAGCUCAGCUGAGCAGCAACAUGAGGAAGGCUCUGCUGGUUCUGAAUUGUGUCAUUCUCUCAAUUGGAAACUGCGGUGGUCCCAUGGUGAUGCGCCUGUAUUUCGUCCGUGGCGGCGAGAGAAUAUGGUUUUCCAGUUGGUUGGAAACGGCUGGGUGGCCCUUGAUCCUAGUCCCUCUCAUCAUCACUUACAUCCACCGCCGAACCAAGCAAGGCUCCCAUGCCAAGCUCUUCUUCAUGAAACCUCCUCUGUUCGUGGCCUCCGCUGUUAUCGGUGUCCUCACCGGCUUCGAUGACUACCUCUACGCCUAUGGCGUAGCAAAACUGCCCGUUUCAACAUCUGCUCUCAUUAUCGCAAGCCAGCUCGCUUUCACAGCAGCCUUCGCGUUCCUCUUGGUGAAACAAAAGUUCACCUCAUACUCCGUAAAUGCCAUAUUUCUGUUGAGUAUCGGUGCCGGUGUCUUGGCUUUACACACUAGCUCCGACCGCCCUGCUAAUGAGUCCAACAAAGAAUAUUAC